rnacentral:rRNA from 1 species
CUACGGGGGGCAGCAGUGGGGAAUAUUGGACAAUGGGCGAAAGCCUGAUCCAGCCAUGCCGCGUGUGUGAAGAAGGCCUUCGGGUUGUAAAGCACUUUCAGUGGGGAAGAAAGCCUUGGGGCUAAUACCCUCGAGGAAGGACAUCACCCACAGAAGAAGCACCGGCUAACUCCGUGCCAGCAGCCGCGGUAAUACGGAGGGUGCGAGCGUUAAUCGGAAUUACUGGGCGUAAAGCGCGCGUAGGCGGUCUGAUAAGCCGGUUGUGAAAGCCCCGGGCUCAACCUGGGAACGGCAUCCGGAACUGUCAGGCUAGAGUGCAGGAGAGGAAGGUAGAAUUCCCGGUGUAGCGGUGAAAUGCGUAGAGAUCGGGAGGAAUACCAGUGGCGAAGGCGGCCUUCUGGACUGACACUGACGCUGAGGUGCGAAAGCGUGGGUAGCAAACAGGAUUAGCUACCCCAGUAGUC